CGGGGACGGCGGCGAUGGUACGUGGGGGAUCGCCAGAGACCGAGGAAGUGUAGAGCUACUAUGCUAUUGGAAGCAUAAAGUAGUUGGUGCUUCUGAUUUUUUAGCCCUUGAAUGAAAGAUUUUACGGUUGAAAUGAUAGCAGUCCUCUUAGGGUUGAGUAGUCCCUAUAGGGUUGAGUGGUCCCCAUUAGUUAAUAAUAUUAAUCCAAUGGUUAGAAAUGAACAAUGGGGUUGAUCUAAAGGCUAAAAAAUCAGAAGCACCAACUAUUUUAUACUUCCGAUAGCAUAGUAGCACUACUAUAUAUAUAUAUAUAUAUAUAGAGCUAGGCUACUAUACUAUCUAUAGUACCGAGCUCCAAUACUAUAGUGUUGGUUUUCGAUCUUAGGGCGUUCAAAUCAACGAUCCACACCGUUAAAACUGAUCUAGGGUAUUUAAAGUUUCUAAAAAUAAAAUUUUAUAUUUUUUCGACAUAGUUUACUUUAUGAUCAAACUAUUUCAAAAUUGUCAAUUUUCAAUGGCUAUUAUGACGAGUUUGGAGUUUAACGGUGUAGAGGAAUCUAAAUUUCUUCAAAUUUUGAUAGAAAAUACUUUAAACUAUAUAGAUUAAGGUUAACAUUCUUGAUCUUGAAUUUAAAAGUCCUAUACUCAAAUUUUAAAGAUUAUUCAAUUUCCACCGUCCAUUUUGAUAUAAUUUAUUUACUAAGUAAACGAUAUCGAAAAAAACUAAAAUUUUAUUCCUAAGAAAUUCAUAUACCNUACUACCGAUUUGUUUUUGAUGAUAGAGCUUCCAAAUCGACGAUCGGCACCGUUGAACACCAUCUAGACCAUUUAAAUUAUCUAGAAAUCAAAUUUCAUGAUUUUUUGGCAUCACUAACUGAACGAUCAAAGGGUUACAAAAUCUAUAAUUUUAAUGGCCGAUAUGGUGCGUUUGCUCGUUUAACGGUAUAGAAGAGUUCAAAUCAACUAAAUUUUUGUUAGAAAAUUCUUUAAACUAUUUAAAAUAAGAUCUACACUCUAGAUCUCAAAUAUAAAAAUUGUAUCAUCACUUUUUGAAGGAUAUUCAUUUCCAGCCAUUCAUUUUUCUAUUCACUUGAUGGAUAAGAGAACAAUAUCGAAAAUGUUUGAAAUUUG
rnacentral:lncRNA from 1 species